GUACUUGCUCUGCAGCACAUAUACCAAAAUUGGAAAAUCUAGAGAAAAUUAACAUGGCCCCUUCUCGAGGAUCACAUAUAAAA
rnacentral:snRNA from 1 species